GACGAACGCUGGCGGCGUGCCUAAUACAUGCAAGUAGAACGCUGAAGAGAGGAGCUUGCUCUUCUUGGCUGAGUUGCGAACGGGUGAGUAACGCGUAGGUAACCUGCCUUGUAGCGGGGGAUAACUAUUGGAAACGAUAGCUAAUACCGCAUAACAAUGGAUGACACAUGUCAUUUAUUUGAAAGGGGCAAUUGCUCCACUACAAGAUGGACCUGCGUUGUAUUAGCUAGUAGGUGAGGUAAUGGCUCACCUAGGCGACGAUACAUAGCCGACCUGAGAGGGUGGUCGGCCACACUGGGACUGAGACACGGCCCAGACUCCUACGGGAGGCAGCAGUAGGGAAUCUUCGGCAAUGGGGGCAACCCUGACCGAGCAACGCCGCGUGAGUGAAGAAGGUUGUCGGAUCGUAAAGCUCUGUUGUAAGUCAAGAACGGGUGUGAGAGUGGAAAGUUCACACUGUGACGGUAGCUUACCAGAAAGGGACGGCUAACUACGUG
rnacentral:rRNA from 1 species